rnacentral:rRNA from 1 species
GGUAAGUACACGUGGGUUCCUCCCUACCAAACCGGGAAUAUCGCUUGGAAACCAUGUGCUUAUACCUUAUUGGCUCUUCCAGCGCAUGCUUUGAGAGGGAAAGAAGCUAGUCCUGUCGCUGUCAGAUGGGCCCACUCCCCAUUAGCUAGUUGGUGAGGUAACGGCUCACCAAGUCUUCGAUGCGUACCCCCCCCUGAGAGGGUGACCGGCCACACUGGGACUGAGGCGCGGCCCAGACUCCUACGGUAGGCAGCAGUACUGGAAUCUUCCGCAAUGGGCGCAAGCCUGACGGAGCAACACCGCGUGAGUGAUGAAGGCCUUCGGGUUGUAAAACUCUGUCUUCUGUGAAGAACAAGCCUGUGAGUGAAAGCUCAGGCCUU